rnacentral:tRNA from 1 species
AGCCUUGUAGUGGUUGGACCAUGUAGAAUUGCAAAUUCGAAGAAGCAGCUUCAAUUCUGCC